UACAGAGGGGGCAAGCGUUAUUCGGAAUUAUUGGGCGUAAAGGGCGCGUAGGCGGCCUUGCAAGUGACGGGUGAAAUCCCUCGGCUUAACCGAGGAACUGCCUGUCAGACUGCAUGGCUUGAGACCGGGAGAGGUGAGUGGAAUUCCCAGUGUAGCGGUGAAAUGCGUAGAUAUUGGGAGGAACACCAGUGGCGAAGGCGGCUCACUGGACCGGUACUGACGCUGAGGCGCGAAAGCGUGGGGAGCGAACAGG
rnacentral:rRNA from 1 species